GACGAACGCUGGCGGCGUGCUUAACACAUGCAAGUCGAACGGAAAGGCCCUGCUUUUGUGGGGUGCUCGAGUGGCGAACGGGUGAGUAACACGUGAGUAACCUGCCCUUGACUUUGGGAUAACUUCAGGAAACUGGGGCUAAUACCGGAUAGGAGCUCCUGCUGCAUGGUGGGGGUUGGAAAGUUUCGGCGGUUGGGGAUGGACUCGCGGCUUAUCAGCUUGUUGGUGGGGUAGUGGCUUACCAAGGCUUUGACGGGUAGCCGGCCUGGGAGGGUGACCGGCCACAUGGGGCCUGAGAUAGGGCCCAGACUCCUACGUGAGGCAGCAGUGGGGAGUAUUGCACAAUGGGCGGAAGCCUGAUGCAGCAGCGCCGCGUGCGUGAUGACGGCCUUCGGGUUGUAAACCGCUUUCGCCUGUGACGAAGCGUGAGUGACGGUAAUGGGUAAAGAAGCACCGGCUAACUACGUG
rnacentral:rRNA from 1 species